rnacentral:rRNA from 1 species
UCGAGAAUAAUUCGCAAUGGGCGAAAGCCUGACGAUGCGACGCCGUGUGAGCGAUGAAGGCCUUCGGGUUGUAAAGCUCUGUCGCUUGGGAACAAGGGUUAUUUGUAAAUAGCAGAUAAUCUUGAGUGUACCAGGAAAGGAAGCACCGGCUAACUCCGUGCCAGCAGCUGCGGUAAUACGGAGGGUGCAAGCGUUAGUCGGAAUUACUGGGCGUAAAGGGCGCGUAGGCGGGGAUGUAAGUCAGACGUGAAAUUCCGAAGCUCAACUUCGGAGCGGCAUCUGAAACUGCAUUUCUAGAGGAAGAGCGGAGAAAACGGAAUUCCAUGUGUAGCGGUGAAAUGCGUAGAUAUGUGGAAGAACACCUGUGGCGAAAGCGGUUUUCUAGCUUACUCCUGACGCUGAGGCGCGAAAGCAAGGGGAGCAAACAGG